GGCUUGUCUGAGUGCAGUGGUGUUUAUAGCUAAUUGAUCACAACCAGUUACAGAUUUCUUUGUUCCUUCUCCACUCCCACCACUACACUUGACUAGCUCUUU
ensembl:misc_RNA Y_RNA Y RNA